UGGCUGAGCGGUAAAGCGCUUGCUUUCGAACCAAUGUCCCGGGCUCGAAUCCCGG
rnacentral:tRNA from 1 species